CGUAGCCGGCGCCGAGCGCGGUGGGAGAGCAGCGGGUACCCGGCUGGCUCGGCUGGCGGCCUCUGCCCGCACCUCGGCGCCGCAAGCCCCGCGCCUCGCCCGCCCUUGGCUUCGGGGGGUCCGAGGCCGCUGGUAAUAGAGGGGCCGGCGGAGCCCGGCACUGCUGUAUCUGGAGUAGAACAGAAAAAUUAUUAUGCCUGUGUUCUCUUGGGACUCUCUGGAAGUUGCACAGUGACAUCAUCUGGGAUUUAGUCUGGAG
rnacentral:lncRNA from 1 species